GUAAAGCACUUUUGGCAGGGAAGAAACGGCGCUGGUUAAUACCUGGCGCACCUGACGGUACCUGCAGAAUAAGCACCGGCUAACUACGUGCCAGCAGCCGCGGUAAUACGUAGGGUGCAAGCGUUAAUCGGAAUUACUGGGCGUAAAGCGUGCGCAGGCGGUUCGGCAAGAAAGAUGUGAAAUCCCAGGGCUUAACCUUGGAACUGCAUUCUUAACUGCCGGGCUAGAGUAUGUCAGAGGGGGGUAGAAUUCCACGUGUAGCAGUGAAAUGCGUAGAGAUGUGGAGGAAUACCGAUGGCGAAGGCAGCCCCCUGGGAUGAUACUGACGCUCAUGCACGAAAGCGUGGGGAGCAAACAGGAUUAGAUACCCUGGUAGUCCACGCCCUAAACGAUGUCAACUAGCUGUUGGGGACUCCGGGCUUCGGUAGCGCAGCUAACGCGUGAAGUUGACCGCCUGGGGAGUACGGUCGCAAGAUUAAAACUCAAAGGAAUUGACGGGGACCCGCACAAGCGGUGGAUGAUGUGGAUUAAUUCGAUGCAACGCGAAAAACCUUACCUACCCUUGACAUGUCUGGAAUGCCGAAGAGAUUUGGCAGUGCUCGCAAGAGAACCGGAACACA
rnacentral:rRNA from 2 species